rnacentral:rRNA from 1 species
AAAACUUUCAACAACGGAUCUCUUGGUUCUGGCAUCGAUGAAGAACGCAGCGAAAUGCGAUAAGUAAUGUGAAUUGCAGAAUUCAGUGAAUCAUCGAAUCUUUGAACGCACAUUGCGCCCGCUAGUAUUCUGGCGGGCAUGCCUGUUCGAGCGUCAUUUCAACCCUCAAGCGCUGCUUGGUGUUGGGG